rnacentral:misc_RNA from 1 species
GAAGAUCGAUAAAAAAGGAUUACUUUAAUGUUUUAUACAAUGAUCUCAUGCAAUCAAUAAUCAAAAUCUAUACUUAUUCAGAGCCUAGUAUCCAUCUUAUCACCCUUGAUGAUCGGAUUUCUCUUAACCAAGAGUUCACGACCAGCGCUCUUGAAAUCGAACGUGCACGAGUGCUCUUUAGGGAAGCGGUGAAACCCACAGAAGACCUUCCCGCAGCGGCACUCGAACCCUGUGAAACCCACCUUCUUAUUGCAACUCUCACAUCUAUUCUUCAAGGUUGAACCCGAGGCAACUGUCCUAUCCGUUUCUUCGGUCCUGGUCGAUAAAGAUUGGUGGGUAUCAAUUGGUGUAGCUGCUGGUUUGACAGACAUACUCGAUUUAGCAAUUAGCUCCUCUUUGAUAUAGUCGUUGUAGCACUUGGAGCAGAGGUUGUAGUUCUCUGCUGUCCCAAAGAAGCCACAGCCCUUGGCGCACAUUGGAUUACAUGUGCUUUUCUGCGAAUCCAUUUUCUUUCUUCUUCUUGAGAUGAUUAUGAUCUAUGAAGACGAUCCCUGAGAACAAGAAAGAUCUCAAAAUCUUCUUGAUGUAUGAGAUUCGAUGAUGAAUUGAAUAGAAUACGUGUAGCGUUUG